rnacentral:rRNA from 1 species
GCAGUCGAGCGGAUCUUCAUUAGCCUGCUUUUGAAGAUCAGCGGCGGACGGGUGAGUAACACGUGGGCAACCUGCCUGUAAGACUGGGAUAACUUCGGGAAACCGGAGCUAAUACCGGAUAAUCCUUUCCCUCACAUGAGGGAAAGCUGAAAGACGGUUUCGGCUGUCACUUACCGAUGGGCCCGCGGCGCAUUAGCUAGUUGGUGAGGUAACGGCUCACCAAGGCGACGAUGCGUAGCCGACCUGAGAGGGUGAUCGGCCACACUGGGACUGAGACACGGCCCAGACUCCUACGGGAGGCAGCAGUAGGGAAUCUUCCGCAAUGGACGAAAGUCUGACGGAGCAACGCCGCGUGAGCGAUGAAGGCCUUCGGGUCGUAAAGCUCUGUUGUCAGGGAAGAACAAGUAUCGGAGUAACUGCCGGUACCUUGACGGUACCUGACCAGAAAGCCACGGCUAACUACGUGCCAGCAGCCGCGGUAAUACGUAGGUGGCAAGCGUUGUCCGGAAUUAUUGGGCGUAAAGCGCGCGCAGGCGGUUCCUUAAGUCUGAUGUGAAAGCCCCCGGCUCAACCGGGGAGGGUCAUUGGAAACUGGGGAACUUGAGUGCAGAAGAGGAGAGCGGAAUUCCACGUGUAGCGGUGAAAUGCGUAGAGAUGUGGAGGAACACCAGUGGCGAAGGCGGCUCUCUGGUCUGUAACUGACGCUGAGGCGCGAAAGCGUGGGGAGCGAACAGGAUUAGAUACCCUGGUAGUCCACGCCGUAAACGAUGAGUGCUAAGUGUUAGAGGGUUUCCGCCCUUUAGUGCUGCAGCAAACGCAUUAAGCACUCCGCCUGGGGAGUACGGCCGCAAGCUGA